UGAGUAGCCUCCCAGGGCUGACAGAUGGGCAGCCCUGCGAGGAAGCCACAUGGCAGGGCCGUGUUGUUGUUAAACGCAGCUCAUUAGGUUUUAUCAGCAAGAUGCUGCUCGGUUGGCAGGAACACACCUGCCCCCAGCAGGAGCGGCUGCCAGAAACGCCCUGGGAAGACUUUGGAGGGAAGGCUGGAGCCAUGGGCUUGCUCUUGGAGCCUGGCACCCUCUCCCAGACCUCAGAGGUCCUGUCUGUGGUUGGGGGGCCUCAGGGACAACUGGAGGGCACUGGCACACUGAACUGAGGCCAAGGAAGCCAGGCAUCCCGGCCUCCCCAGGGCCAAGCUAGGGGCAACGCCAAGCCUCUCCACUGGCAGCCAGCUGCCCCCAAGGCUGGACUCUGAAAACAGACCACACCAGGGGCCACAAGCUUUGUAAAAGCCUAGAUAGUCACAGGCCAGCCAUACAAAAACAGGUGGUGGGCCAGAUUUGCCAACCCCUGGACCACAAUCUCCUGGGCAAGAAAGCCAGCAAGAGAGGCCACCUACCGCUCUCCUCCAAGAUGGAACCCUCAAAUGUGGGCACCACAAAGGUCUGGGGGUUAGGGGGCCCACACAGCCCCUGUGCAUACCUGCCUCUGUCACAACACCUCGCCUGGAGGACAGGACCCACCUGAGUGUGUGUCAGUCUCCCCCCAGCUCUGGCCUGCCGCCCCGUGCCAUGCUGAGACCUCUCUCCCUACUCAGGGCCCCCCUUGGUCCCACAGGCCCCCAAGCUGCAGUGUGGCCGUCCUGACAUCUCAUGGUCCUCACUCAUAACGCAGCUCCCCCCAUGGGUUUCUGGGGCCCCAAGCUGUGCUCAAUUUCACCGUGGCCCCCCAUAACCCCCUCCGCCGUGCCAUGGUCAGUGCCAGGCAGAGCUUGUCUUCCCGACUCCCUCUGCCUUAGGUGACCUCUCUCCUCAGUCCAUCAGGCAAAUCCGCUUCUGGUGGGCUGCAGUGCACAAGCCCGGCCACAUCUGAAUCCUCUUGCACUCAUGCUGGGACCCUCACCUACUACGUUAUGGUACCAACCCCACCCCAUCUUAUAGGGAAAGACUAGCUGAAGGAGGCCUGGGUUCGAUGCCUGGCUGCAGGUUAGACAACUGGCUGCAGGACCUUGGAGCCAGUCGCUCGGCCACGCUCAGCCCCACCUUCCCAUCUGUGCAAUGCAGUGAUCGCCAUGCCCGCUUUGGAGACUCGGAAAUCAGACGCUCUACGUGGAGGGGUCCAGCGUGGGGCAUAUACGGCCCGGCGCAUGUGUGGUCCUCAGUAGCUGCUUACUCGAUCUGCAAGUGAAAUUUAAUUCCAGAAAUAGGACGAGCUGUGGAGAUGGUGGUGAAGGAACAGCCACGGGAACGCAGAGCACCCUGAUCUGAAGCUGAGGAGGUAUGAAUGCAAGUGAGGCUGGGGUCCGAACACCUCACCCCGUUCCUCAGGGCAGUGCCCACUGGCCCAUCACACAAGGUGCGGGAGGAGGACCAUCUGACCACUAGUCACAUGGUGAGACAUCAAGACUGAGAACUGUAUCCAGUGCCCUUAAACCUCCUCCAUCCUUGAGUAGGAACAGACGCUUUCCCUCAGCUGCAUCUGUCCAAGGGCUUCACCACCAGCCUAGCUUCAGCUGGGAUGGCUUUGGCUGCAAGUAACACCAGAGCAAACCCGGCUCAAACAAUAGAGGCUAAUGAGGAGUCUGGAGGUUGGAGGUUCCAGGCUGGGUUCACAGGGCGCAGGUCACAUCCUCCAAGAGUCCAUUGUGUUGGCCUCGCCUUCCCGCUUGUAAGAUGGCUGCUGCAGGUAUUGCUUCCCCAAGCACCAACAUCCCAUGACCCCAAGCUGGGGGAGGGUGCUUCUCAUCUAAAUCAAGUCCCCAGGAGACUUUCCUCAAGUUCCAGCGGCCAGAACUGGGUCACAGGCCCAGCCCUAAAACGAUCGUUGGCAAAGGAGAGAGAGCUGAGCUGGAGGCGGACCCCCACGGAGGACACGGCACCCAUACCUGAGCACAUGUGGGGUUCUGCUGGAAGGAAGAUGGCGGGAGUGGACGUUCAGUUGCAAACCAGCUGAGCUGCCAGGCCUUGUUGGGAUUUUGGGGUUUCAGCUUCUGCAUUAUUUUUAACUAGAGAUAUUAUACUGUCAAAACAAGUGAGUCAUCAUGCCCUUCUGACAGGAGCCUGGUGGAUUAUUAGUACUUCCAUCCAAAUUCCCAGGGAGACACAGGUGCAUGGAUGGGACGAGGAAAGGCACUGCACUACGCAUGAGAGAAACAGUCCCUAAAACAUUAAGGGAAAAAAUGAACUGAAUUGUCCAGAUACUUCGUGGGCUGCCCCAACAGAAAGUGGGAGCUUCUCCUGGCCCCUACUGGUCACUGAAAUGGUUCAAAAAGCCUUGAGAACACCAGGCAGGGGCCAGGUUACUGGCAUUCUGACCCUAGAUGAGCUUGGCCUCAGUUUCCUCAUUUGUAAAAUCAGCAUUUGGUGUCAAGGGUCAAGAUCCUUGCCUCUCUGAUCCUCCGUGACUCAACCUUGAACCAUAAAUGACAAGCAGGACCCGAGGCUUGAAACCAGCAGUGUCCUGGGUCCUGGUAGUUCCCUCUAGACUGAUGGAGAUACUGCAGUGAUGAUGGUGAUGGUACCCAGCACACUGAGCACUUGCUAAGUGCCAUGCAUUGUUCUACAUGUGUUAUCUCACUUAAUUCCCACAACAAUCCUAUGGAAUGAUUACUUUUAUUAUGCCCCUGUAACAGAUGAGGAAACUGAGGCUUAGGGAGGCUCCUGCCUAUGUUCACCUCUCAUGGACUAAAUUACAUUCCUCCAGAAUUCAUCUGUUGAAUCCGUAACCCAUACUGUGAGCGUGUUAGGAGAUAGGCCCUUUAAAGAGGUAGCUAGAGUUAAAUGAGGUCAUAAGGAUGGGGCCCUAAUUCAGUGUGACCCAUGUGCUUAGACGAAGAGGAAGAGACAGCAGGGAUGCACACCGAGGAGAGGCCAUGUGAGGAAACGGUGAGAAGGUGGCCAUCUGCAAGCCAUGGAGAGAGGCCUCAGAAGAAAGCAGACCUGCCCACACCUUGACCUUGCACUUCUAGCCUCAGAACUGUGAGAGAAUAAACUUCUGAGCCACUCAGCCUGUGGGAUUUUGUUACGGCAGCCAGAGGACUAACCCAUCACCCCACGGCAGAGCCAACAUUGGAACCAGGCAGUUCGACUUCAGAGCCACCUUCUUAAGGACCUCAUCAUCUACAAUGGAACCCUCUAAUUGGAGAGGAGGGUAAUAGAUAGCCUCAUGGCUGGGUCUGCAUGUACAAAGUAUACAGAUUGCCAGAUCCCAGCCCCUCCCUCCUUACUCAACAAAAGACAGUCCGUUCAGGACCAGCCAAGACCCAUGUUUUGCGUGGAAAUCAUCACAGGGAAAUAGAAGCCAGAGUCCAGUGGGUGUCUAGAACCAGCUGGCUAACUUGUAGAGCUGGGUCCUGCCUACAAUGCCUAUAGGCACCAAGGGGAUUUCAAUCAGAGGUUUUAAAUGGUAUCACCAUCUGCUUCCCAGGCAACAAUCUUGAAUGCUGCCCGAAACGAACAGUCCUGGACUUAAAUCGUCUCUUCCCCAGGAGUGGGAUCUUAGGCAAGUCACUUCACCCUCUGAGCCUCAGUUUCCCCAUCUGUCACAUAAUCAUUCGGGCUCUGCAGCAGUGCCGUGAGGAUAAAGAGGUUAACCUGUGGGCAAGAGCUUCACAGAUGGUGUUAAUUCAGGAACACCCAACCAGAGGGACAACCUGAACUCCCUUAGCUUCAUCAAAGCAAAACUUACGGCUACAAAUCCCCUGGCAGGCAGCCGCCAGUCCUUUCUAGAAGGAGCUGGGUAUAAAUUAUAGAUCACAGCCUAUCAGAUCAGCUGCUGUUCUGGUUCUGACCUCCCUGCGGGCAGGAAUCUGGGCUGGCUCCCUCAAAGCGCCUCCCAGGGCCCCGGGGAUCUCUGCUACCCCUGCAGUGCCUACCUCUUGCCCCCAGCUUUCCUUCCCCCAAAGACAAAUGCUCCUUGGCCUAGGGGUGAGGGGACUCCCAGAAGGACUCCCAGAAAGCAGCCCUCCCAUCGGCUUCCAAAGUUUGGAGCUGGCCACCACCGGAACCCCAAACCCCAGCCCCGCUGAGCACGCCCACUGCAUCCUCCAUCCCCCAGGAGAGGCUUCAUCCCAGGAUGGGAGAGGAGCAGAAUGCCCUGGGGGAAUUUGUGUUUGAGGUUGGGAGCCAGCAAGAGGCUGUGGUGAAAGCAGCCGUGUUUUUAUCGGCAGGGCCUGCCCGCCUGAGGGGACCCAAUGAGAUCCCUUGCUUCCUUCCUGUGGCCGCUGCCCUCUCCACCUUCACUCACACACAUCUCGCCCAUGUUCCCAGGCCACACGCGGAACUGGGCUUCUCUCCCUUCCCCAGCC
rnacentral:lncRNA from 1 species